CUCCCAUAUCUGGAAUGCUCUCCCUCUUAACUUUUACCUCUUAAGAGUCCCUUGUUUCCUUCAUGAUUCAUUUGGGAUCACCUCCUGCAUGAAACCUUUCCUGGGAUUAUUAAUUGACUAUAACUUUGAAAAACUGAUGGAAAAUAGGGGAAGUAUCACAGGAAAAAUAAGGGAAAAUAGGGGAAGUAUCACAGGAACUAUCAUAGAGGGAAAACUGCAGCUUUAGUUUCAGCUCAUUCUUAAUGACCUCAUGCUGAAUGAAUUGCCGAACCUGGAGCACUUUGGGGCACUUUCGUAUAGGAGCAGAAAUAUAUAUAUGGAAAAGAGAGCAUGAAAAGAACGUUGGAAGGCAAAGGAUCACUGGGAAGCUUCACUCAUACAAUUGGAAUUAUUUCUACCCCUUCACCUUGGCUCACCUGAUAUGUCCCUUGUGGCUUUGCAAUAAUUGAUGUCCCAUC